rnacentral:tRNA from 1 species
UGGGGUUUAGUUCAGUGGUAGAGCAUUUGCUUAUCACAAAGAGAUCUGGGUUCAAACCCCAGCACCUCCA